rnacentral:rRNA from 1 species
GACGAACGCUGGCGGCGUGCUUAACACAUGCAAGUCGAACGGAAAGGCCCUGCUUUUGUGGGGUGCUCGAGUGGCGAACGGGUGAGUAACACGUGAGUAACCUGCCCUUGACUUUGGGAUAACUUCAGGAAACUGGGGCUAAUACCGGAUAGGAGCUCCUGCUGCAUGGUGGGGGUUGGAAAGUUUCGGCGGUUGGGGAUGGACUCGCGGCUUAUCAGCUUGUUGGUGGGGUAGUGGCUUACCAAGGCUUUGACGGGUAGCCGGCCUGAGAGGGUGACCGGCCACAUUGGGACUGAGAGACGGCCCAGACUCCUACGGGAGGCAGCAGUGGGGAAUAUUGCACAAUGGGCGGAAGCCUGAUGCAGCAACGCCGCGUGCGGAAUGACGGCCUUCGGGUUGUAAACCGCUUUCGCCUGUGACGAAGCGUGAGUGACGGUAAUGGGUAAAGAAGCACCGGCUAACUACGUG